ACCUGUUGUCUGUAACCAGUAACUAGUCUAGGGAGAGACCUGUUGUCUGUAACCUAUAACUAGUCUAGGGAGAGACCUGUUGUCUGUAACCAGUAACUAGUCUAGGGAGAGACCUGUUGUCUGUAACCUAUAACUAGUCUAGGGAGAGACCUGUUGUCUGUAACCAGUAACUAGUCUAGGGAGAGACCUGUUGUCUGUAACCUAUAACUAGUCUAGGGAGAGACCUGUUGUCUGUAACCAGUAACUAGUCUAGGGAGAGACCUGUUGUCUGUAACCUAUAACUAGUCUAGGGAGAGACCUGUUGUCUGUAACCUAUAACUAGUCUAGGGAGAGACCUGGCUGUAACCUAUAACUAGUCUAGGGAGAGACCUGUUGUCUGUAACCUAUAACUAGUCUAGGGAGAGACCUGUUGUCUGUAACCUAUAACUAGUCUAGGGAGAGACCUGUUGUCUGUAACCUAUAACUAGUCUAGGGAGAGACCUGUUGUCUGUAACCUAUAACUAGUCUAGGGAGAGACCUGUUGUCUGUAACCAUUAACUAGUCUAGGGAGAGACCUGUUGUCUGUAACCAGUAACUAGUCUAGGGAGAGACCUGUUGUCUGUAACCUAUAACUAGUCUAGGGAGAGACCUGUUGUCUGUAACCAGUAACUAGUCUAGGGAGAGACCUGUUGUCUGUAACCUAUAACUAGUCUAGGGAGAGACCUGGCUGUAACCUAUAACUAGUCUAGGGAGAGACCUGUUGUCUGUAACCAGUAACUAGUCUAGGGAGAGACCUGGCUGGCUUUAAACCUGCUUUAUUUAAAUGAAUGUAACACACAUUAUUAUAUCCUUCUAGCUAAAUCCCAAAUGGCACCCUAAAUGACCAGUUCAAAAGUAGUGCACUUUAUAGGGAACGGGGUGUCAUUUGGGCCAAAUAUAGGAUAAUUUGACUGUAGCCUUCUGCGUUCAGCAGAGACCACUUUUUCCUUGUUGGCACUUUAUCUGUUGGUUAGUAGGUGCUAUUAUAUUAUUGAACCUCUGGAGCCAUACGCUAUUGGGUUAGUCAGGCUGAUCAGCAAGUGUCAAUAAGGUGUUGGGUUAGUCAGGCUGAUCAGCAAGUCUCAAUAAGGUGUUGGGUUAGUCAGGCUGAUCAGCAAGUGUCAAUAAGGUGUUGGGUUAGUCAGGCUGAUCAGCAAGUCUCAAUAAGGUGUUGGGUUAGUCAGGCUGAUCAGCAAGUGUCAAUAAGGUGUUGGGUUAGUCAGGCUGAUCAGCAAGUGUCAAUAAGGUGUUGGGUUAGUCAGGCUGAUCAGCAAGUCUCAAUAAGGUGUUGGGUUAGUCAGGCUGAUCAGCAAGUGUCAAUAAGGUGUUGGGUUAGUCAGGCUGAUCAGCAAGUCUCAAUAAGGUGUUGGGUUAGUCAGGCUGAUCAGCAAGUGUCAAUAAGGUGUUGGGUUAGUCAGGCUGAUCAACAAGUGUCAAUAAGGUGUUGGGUUAGUCAGGCUGAUCAACAAGUGUCAAUAAGGUGUUGGGUUAGUCAGGCUGAUCAGCAAGUGUCAAUAAGGUGUUGGGUUAGUCAGGCUGAUCAACAAGUCUCAAUAAGGUGUUGGGUUAGUCAGGCUGAUCAGCAAGUGUCAAUAAGGUGUUGGGUUAGUCAGGCUGAUCAGCAAGUGUCAAUAAGGUGUUGGGUUAGUCAGGCUGAUCAGCAAGUGUCAAUAAGGUGUUGGGUUAGUCAGGCUGAUCAGCAAGUGUCAAUAAGGUGUUGGGUUAGUCAGGCUGAUCAGCAAGUGUCAAUAAGGUGUUGGGUUAGUCAGGCUGAUCAGCAAGUGUCAAUAAGGUGUUGGGUUAGUCAGGCUGAUCAACAAGUCUCAAUGAGGUGUUGGGUUAGCCAGGCUGAUCAGCAAGUCUCAAGCCUCAAAUACCUUAGUAAUAUAUUCUGUCUAUGGACACAUGCUACUCAUUUUCACUGGGUGUGUGUCCCAAAUGGCAACUCAUUCUACAUUUGACCAGGGCCCAUAUGGGGGAUAGGAAGUCAUUAAUGACCAGGGUCCAUAUGGGGGAUAGGAAGUCAUGAAUGACCAGGGCCCAUAUGGGGGGAUAGGAAGUCAUGAAUGACCAGGGCCCAUAUGGGGGGAUAGGAAGUCAUUAAUGACCAGGGUCCAUAUGGGGGAUAGGAAGUCAUUAAUGACCAGGGCCCAUAUGGGGGGAUAGGAAGUCAUGAAUGACCAGGGUCCAUAUGGGGGGAUAGGAAGUCAUUAAUGACCAGGGCCCAUAUGGGGGGAUAGGAAGUCAUUAAUGACCAGGGUCCAUAUGGGGGGAUAGGGGUCCCAUUAGGGAUGCAGCUUUUCACUGGGGUGUGUGUCCCAAAUGGCAACUCAUUCUACAUUUGACCAGGGCCCAUAUGGAGGGAUAGGAAGUCAUUAAUGACCAGGGCCCAUAUGGGGGGAUAGGGGUCCCAUUAGGGAUGCAGCUUUUCACUGGGACACCCAAUGACUACAGCAGGUGUGUUGUCUGAAGAUGGAGCCAGUAGCAGCCUACUGGGCCUACGCUUUGAUGUCGCUCUCCUGUGGCGUUACUUCUUUAUUUGAGCCUUGGUUUUAUUUGAUAUAAAUCAAGGAGAUGAGCUUUUGAUUUGUCUGUUGAGUGUAAGGGGUUGUCCCAAAUGUCACCCUAUUCCCUAUGUAGUGCACUCCUAUGGGCCCUUUUCCCUAUGUAGUGCACUACUAUGGGCCCUAUUCCCUAUGUAGUGCACUACUAUGGGCCCUAUUCCCUAUGUAGUGCGCUACUAUGGUCCCUAUUCCCUAUGUAGUGCGCUACUAUGGUCCCUAUUCCCUAUGUAGUGCGCUACUAUGGUCCCUAUUCCCUAUGUAGUGCGCUACUAUGGGCCCUAUUCCCUAUGUAGUGCGCUACUAUGGGCCCUAUUCCCUAUGUAGUGCGCUACUAUGGGCCCUAUUCCCUAUGUAGUGCGCUAUAAGUGGAAUAAUGUGCCAUUAGGGAGACAAGCCGUCUCAGAACAUACGCUGUUAAACCAUUGAGUACAUUACUGUGCUGUUACAUAUUUAUAUCAUUUGUAAGUAUGCAUUAUUAUAAUUAUUUUAUAUUUGUAUACAUGCACUAGUUUUUAAGUGUGCAUUAUUUUUCGGGACAUGAAUCAAACUGACGUGUAAAAAAAAAUAAAGUACUUUUUUUGUUAA